CCUACGGGAGGCAGCAGUGAGGAAUAUUGGUCAAUGGACGAGAGCCUGAACCAGCCAAGUCGCGUGAAGGAUGAAUGCUCUAUGGGUUGUAAACUUCUUUUAUAUGGGAAUAAAGUGUUGCACGUGUGCCUUUUUGUAUGUACCAUAUGAAUAAGCAUCGGCUAACUCCGUGUCAGCAGCCGCGGUAAUACGGAGGAUGCGAGCGUUAUCCGGAUUUAUUGGGUUUAAAGGGUGCGUAGGUGGAUUAUUAAGUCAGUUGUGAAAGUUUGCGGCUCAACCGUAAAAUUGCAGUUGAAACUGGUUGACUUGAGUACAGUAGAGGUGGGCGGAAUGCGUGGUGUAGCGGUGAAAUGCAUAGAUAUCACGAAGAACUCCGAUUGCGAAGGCAGCUCACUGGACUAUAACUGACACUGAGGCUCGAAAGCGUGGGGAUCAAACAGGAUUAGAUACCCUAGUAGUC
rnacentral:rRNA from 1 species